rnacentral:rRNA from 1 species
GAGAAAGCUUGCUUUCUUGCUGACGAGUGGCGGACGGGUGAGUAAUGCUUGGGAAUCUGGCUUAUGGAGGGGGAUAACGACGGGAAACUGUCGCUAAUACCGCGUAGUGUCGAGAGACGAAAGUGCGGGACUGAGAGGCCGCAUGCCAUAGGAUGAGCCCAAGUGGGAUUAGGUAGUUGGUGGGGUAAAGGCCUACCAAGCCUGCGAUCUCUAGCUGGUCUGAGAGGAUGACCAGCCACACUGGAACUGAGACACGGUCCAGACUCCUACGGGAGGCAGCAGUGGGGAAUAUUGCGCAAUGGGGGGAACCCUGACGCAGCCAUGCCGCGUGAAUGAAGAAGGCCUUCGGGUUGUAAAGUUCUUUCGGUAUUGAGGAAGGUUGAUGUGUUAAUAGCACAUCAAAUUGACGUUAAAUACAGAAGAAGCACCGGCUAACUCCGUGCCAGCAGCCGCGGUAAUACGGAGGGUGCGAGCGUUAAUCGGAAUAACUGGGCGUAAAGGGCACGCAGGCGGUUAUUUAAGUGAGGUGUGAAAGCCCCGGGCUUAACCUGGGAAUUGCAUUUCAGACUGGGUAACUAGAGUACUUUAGGGAGGGGUAGAAUUCCACGUGUAGCGGUGAAAUGCGUAGAGAUGUGGAGGAAUACCGAAGGCGAAGGCAGCCCCUUGGGAAUGUACUGACGCUCAUGUGCGAAAGCGUGGGGAGCAAACAGGAUUAGAUACCCUGGUAGUCCACGCUGUAAACGCUGUCGAUUUGGGGGUUGGGGUUUAACUCUGGCGCCCGU